rnacentral:rRNA from 1 species
GAUGAACGCUGGCGGCGUGCCUAAUACAUGCAAGUCGAGCGAACAGACGAGGAGCUUGCUCCUCCGACGUUAGCGGCGGACGGGUGAGUAACACGUGGAUAACCUACCUAUAAGACUGGGAUAACUUCGGGAAACCGGAGCUAAUACCGGAUAAUAUAUUCAACCGCAUGGUUCAAUAGUGAAAGACGGUUUUGAUGUCACUUAUAGAUGGAUCCCGGCCGCAUUAGCUAGUUGGGAAGGUAACGGGUUACCACGGCAACGAUGGGUAGCCGACCUGAGAGGGUGAUCGGCCACACUGGAACGGAGACACGGUCCAGACUCCUACGGGAGGCAGCAGUAGGGAAUCUUCGGCAAUGGGCGAAAGCCUGACAGAGCAACGCCGCGUGAGUGAUGAAGGUCUUCGGAUCGUAAAACUCUGUUAUUAGGGAAGAACAAAUGUGUAAGUAACUAUGCACGUCUUGACGGUACCUAAUCAGAAAGCCACGGCUAACUACGUG